GCCUAGUGGUACAUGUUGAAAGAAGGAAAAGCAAGCACUGAAAAUCUAUAUUUAUGAAAAAUUUCUUGGGUUAGGCAACAUCGACUAGAGCCUGGAGAAUUCCCAUCAUUACAUGUCAAGGGUUGCUUUUCCUUUUCCUAUGAACAGUACCAGGAAGGAGAACAUCGACAGUGCCAUGUCCUAUGUCCACAGCAUUGUGCUCCUUCAUCCUUUAUUCCUGGGAUACAUUUGGGUAAUAGGAAAGGGGUAUAGUGUGAAGUCACGUUUUGAGAAAAACCAGGUGAUCCUUACUGCUCAUAAAGUAACAUCCCCCCAUCAUUGCAAAGGAGUUUUCAGAAUUUACAUCUACUAACCUACAGCGUAUACAUGGCUUUAUAUUCUCUAGCUUAAAAUGACACUAGGAAAGACUGCACAGAACAUGUGCAUAACCACUGUUUCCAAUAUUUUGAGCUGCCCUGAAAGAAAGAGAUAACAAUAACUAAAACUGGCAUAGCAUUUACUACAUGCUUGGCAAUAUUUUAAGAAUUUUACAUGGAUUAGUGCAUUUUCACAACUCUCUGAGUUAUGGUCAAUGAGUCCCAUCUUAGGAAGAAAGUGAAGUACAGAGAGAUGACAGAAGUUGCUCCACAUUAUAUUAUUGAUAAGGGGUGGACAAGGAUCUGCACAUUGGUGGUCUGUUCUGAAGUCGCUGCUCUAUCCUGCUUACUGCUAGGGCAAUGUAACCAUAGAAAGGGGGUAAGUAAUAUAUUUACAUUUUUCAAAAUAAGUGUAGAGAGCAAAACCUAAAAAAACAGGAACUUAGAAUUGUACUCUUUUAUGUGAUAUCAGAAAACCUGGUUACAAUAAUUUUACCCGUUAAAAAUAUGUGAAGGCUUGUUUCAGAAACUAAUUUUCUGGGCUCACAUCUUAUUCCAGAAGAUCAGUGACUGCAUGGUACAUUAUACAUAAUUUAAUUUUCCCAGUUGAACAUCGUGACACUAUAUGAACCAUGAAUGCACGAAAUAGGAAUUCCAAAUGUCUUCCAUACGGCACUUUGCUCAUUUCCUGAGCGCUGUGGAAGGCAUGUGGAUGCUCAUUAAGUUUCCAACCAUUCCCCGAGAGCAACAGGUGGUGAAUCAAAGCUUCCCUGAGUUGUCUACAUUAUUUUAAGCCCAAAGUAUGAUAACAAGAGGUUCUAUUGCUUAGAAAAUCUCCCGAAUUCUACUAAAGAAGUAUAAAGGAAUCUCAGGAGAAAAUAAAAGUCUUUUCUGUUGGACAGAACUGACUAUUUUUUGUGGAAAUAACAUUUGAAGGCAAAAGGGUGAUACUAUUUCAUGAUGGCCAGUUAGUGGAAUGACAAUUGUAUUAAAAGAUACAGAAGCAUUAAACGAACAGUGAAGUGACAAAAGAAAGCAUUUCCUUUCAUCUAAAUGCCUUAACAAUCCUCAUUUCAAGGAAUAUCCACCAAGUCCAACCAGAAGUUUCAUCUUAAGUAUUAUUACUUUCAAAUUAUGAAGCACCAUAGUUUGUUCUGGUAUUAUCACAAAGUGAUGUCUGAUACUGCUUGUUAAGCUGCGUGAUUAGAUCAAAAAAGGACAAUGGAUUUCUUGAUGGUUUAGGUCAAAGUUACUUCAGGAAUGUAAAAGAAAAACGAUUCUGUCUACAACUAUAUAAAUGAAAGUUUGCACUGUGAGUAAUAAGACUAAAAUGAGAUUAAGCUAGAGGAGAAAGGCUGAUUAUCAAGAAUAUGUUUGUUAAUCUGUUCAAAGAAUGUCUAAGUAGAUUAAACUUCACACAGAUAAAACCUUACAUAUUUGAUCUUCUUUUACUUUCUCUUUUACUUUUCAAUCAGUGAGUUUAAGAAGAUCCAGUAAAAAGAACUUGUAUACAUUUUUUGCUUAAAAUUCUCUUUUAUGUUAUGGCCCUUGAAAACAGUAAAUCUCAAUAGAAUAUACACCUAAUAAAAACAAACAUACUGAUGGCAAAUAUAUGCUUUGUAUUGCUUCAUAAAAGUCCCCCCACACUCAUUUUUGCAGACAUCCUAUCUGAAACAUUUGUGGAAAUACAUAGGUUGUUACGUUAUUGUCCAACAGGUGUUCUCAUCACAUCUUUCCCUUCCACCAAAUGAAAGGAUUGGAUGACUACUUUAAAAAAAGAUAUUUAUUUAAACAUGCACAGAUACAUAAACACACAUCCAGUUUUCUAAUCAAGAAAAAGAUGUGUAAGACAUUACGGGAUAUUUUAUAAUGUAGAUUGACUACUUAGAGAUAUUGAGCAUUUAACUUUU